rnacentral:rRNA from 1 species
GACGUAGGGCGCGAGCGUUGUCCGGAUUUAUUGGGCGUAAAGAGCUCGUAGGCGGCUUGUCGCGUCGACUGUGAAAUCCCGCCGGCUCAACUGCGGGUCUGCAGUCGAUACGGGCAGGCUAGAGUUCGGUAGGGGAGACUGGAAUUCCUGGUGUAGCGGUGAAAUGACGCAGAUAUCAGGAGGAAUACCGAUGGCGAAGGCAGGUCUCUGGGCUGACACUGACGCUCAUGCACGAAAGCGUGGGGAGCAAACAGG